rnacentral:rRNA from 1 species
AGGGUUCGAUUCUGGCUCAGGAUGAACGCUGGCGGCGUGCUUAACACAUGCAAGUCGAGCGGAGAUAUUUAGAAGCUUGCUUUUGAAUAUCUUAGCGGCGGACGGGUGAGUAACGUGUGGGCAACCUGCCUCAUACAGAGGGAUAAUCAUGUGAAAACGUGACUAAUACCGCAUGUCAUUUGUUGAAGGCAUCUUCGACAAAGAAAAGGAGCAAUCCGGUAUGAGAUGGGCCCGCAUCUGAUUAGCUAGUUGGUGAGAUAACAGCCCACCAAGGCGACGAUCAGUAGCCGACCUGAGAGGGUGAUCGGCCACAUUGGGACUGAGACACGGCCCAA